rnacentral:misc_RNA from 1 species
GAGCCGCGGAAUCAGCACGCCGAUAAACGCCAGAAAUCCAACGCCGACGACCACCAUGGCCUUACGGUGUGCCAACGACCAGCGCAGGACCGGCGUGUAGAUUCUACGAAGAAUACGCACCACGAUGGUUUCUGCUUCCUCGACAUCAAGUAGGAGGUCAACACCGGCGUAAUGGUGAAGGUCGCGAUCAACGCACCGAUCAACGCAUAUCCGUAGGUCUUUGCCAUCGGACUGAAGAUCUGCCCCUCAACGCCCUGCA